AUAUUGGGAUCUGAGUGCCUAACUCCCUUAGGCAACUUUGGAAAUCCCAACCAAGAUCAGAAGCAGGGGGUAUGGGAAAAAGAGAACGAGACACAGACAGAGAGACUCAGUGUGUGAGAGAUGAAAGGUAUCCACAUAUACACGGAGAAAGUAAAUAGGGAAGUAUUAUUUACUCCUCAUAACGCAAGAACUAGGGCCAUGAAAUGAAAUGAAUAGGCAGCAGGUUUAAAACAAACACAAGGAAGUGUUUCUUCAGUCAAUGCACAGUCAACCUGAGGAACUCUUUUCCAGGCGAUGUUGUGAAGGCCAAGACUAUAAUAGGGUUAAAAAAAAACUAGAUAAAUCCUUGGAGGACACGUCCAUCAACGGCUAUUAGCAGGGCAGGGAUGGUGUCUUUAGCCUCUGUUUGCCAGAAGCUGGGAAUGGGCGACAGGGGAUGGAUCACCUGAUGAUUUCCUGUUCUGUUCAUUCCCUCUGAGGCACCUGGCUCUGGCCACUGUGGGGACACAGGAUACUGGGCUGUAGUGGGUGGGACCCACGAUAGCCCUGUGCUACUCAGGUUGCUCUUUAUUCAACAUUAAGGAAACCACACGGUGAGAGACCCGAGUUCCAAAUAUCUAGGUGAAGACGUACAGCGCCUGGCUACUAACCCACACGGCUUCUCUGGCAGGUUCCGGUGGGUCCUGCAGCAGCAGACAGGGGAGACCGCCAGAGGGCUCCGAGACUGUUGAUAGGGACAACACCCAGUCCCUACACAUCACAGGGAGCAAAUCUCCGUGUCUGCGUGUGAGCUACAAUUUGUUACAGGUGUCGGCAGAGGUUUGCAGCCCGAGGCUCAGACUUCAGCCGACUCGCCCGAGCUGUCCGAGCUCCGUUGGGUCAGCGGCUGGCCUGGAGAUACCUGAAACCUCGCAAAUGAUUCAAUGUGUUUUCCUUGCGCUGGCCUUGGCACCGCGUGUCCUUUCCCAGCUGCAGCUGGUGGCCUCCGGCCCUGGGUCGGGGAAGGUCUCCGAGCCCCUCACACUGACCUGCGCUGUCUCCGGGUUCUCCAUCAAUACUCAAUAUUCCUACUGGUACUGGCUCCGUCAGCCUCCUGGAGAAGGGCUGGAGUCCAUGGGGUAUGUUUAUCCAUAUAACGGGGAUACCAGCUACGCCCCGUCUUUCCGAGGCCGGAUCACCAUCUCUGCAGACACCGCCAAGAACCAGGUCUCCCUGACGCUGCGCUCCCUGACAGCUGCGGACACCGCCACCUAUUACUGCGCCCGGAGAGACACAGUGACACAGAGACCGGGGGCCUGGCACAAAAAGGGGGCCAGCCACACGCGUCCCCUGUCGGAGAAAAGGCACCUGACUUUGCCCUUGCGGUCCGCCCCCUUCUGAGGUCACUUUAAGUUGAAGGAGACGCUUUGUCACAGGCCACCACGAAGCUGGAGAGAAGCAGAGAAAGAGGAAACACCUGCGCUGGUGAAUGGGCAGGAGAGAGACUUUGUUACAGGAGUUUUGCAGUUUUGGAAACCACCAAUCUGGGCCUAAGGUUGCAACAGACUGUCCUGUCCGCUCCGCAGCUUAACUGGGGAGCUGGGGUUCUGGGGGGCCCCUCUGCCAAAUGACUGGUAUUUCCUGGCUGCUCUAGCUCUGGCCCAUGGAAGGGAGUGUGGGUGUAUGUGUGAGUUUUUCCUGGUGAGGUAGAGUAUUUGUGGGUGUGUUUGUGUAACCCACACACCUCCGGGGUGUGGUGUUCUGUCCCAUCUAGUGGCACCGAGCCCACUUAGAGUGAGAUUAAUGAGUUUGCUCUACAGCCUUAGCUUACAGCCAAGUGACUUUUAGCUCAUGCCCUAGAGGCUCAUACACUAAGCACCACAGGUCCCAGGUUUCAACCACCGGGGUCUGUUGGUGUUACUUUUGCACCUGUGUGUGAGAGGAGUUGUGUUGAUUCAUGUUUGCAUGAGAGCAUUUGGAGAA